UCAGGACAUAGUAUCGCCUCUGUCUAGGUGGAUCCAGUUGAGAAUGGUCGUCAACAGGUAGCAAACGUUACUCACUGUACCAGCCACUCGUUCAUAGAACAUCAGAUUGCGAAUAACUAUAUUUUUUGUGUGUGUGUCGACAAUAAGCAGGUAACCGAUACAAUUUGACUCCAGCAGCCUGCACUUGCUUGUAGUUUGCACAUUCAGGUACUGAGCACCACAACAUGACUAGACUUUACAGGAGAUAUUCCUCGGGGCCGACAGUGGCUGGCAGCAAUAAAGAACCCUGCCUAUAAUGUGAAUACUCCUGUGGAGAAAUAUCCAAAUCUCCGUGUUUGUAGCCAGCACUUUCAGCCAGAGGAUUUCGAAAUGGACAUGAAGUUUCAACUGAUGGGAUUGCCAGGUCGUCGAAUGUUGAAAAGUGAAGAAGCUAUUCUGUCGGUUUUUAUCUUCACUUCAAAGAGGAAGGCAUCCGAUCACCCAACAUCAGCGCAGAAAAUAAGUCGACCAGAGGUAAUGUAGCUAACUAGCUAGGAAACUAUAACGUUAUUUGUUUAUCUAAAAAACAAAUAAAAAAUCUAGCUAGCAAGAUGUUAUAAUAAGCUGGCUAGCCAUUCCAACGCAAAUCAAUGCAAUUAGCCAGCUGCUAUCUGUCAAUGUGAUUUGUAACUUUGCAAUCUAACGUUAGCUAUGUUAGGAUACGUUAACUACAGCCUACCGGACCGUAUCUAACCGUUAGCUAGUUAACUUCCGCAGGGGCUAAUGUGACUGGCCUAUGUGUUCUAUUUACAGAGUCCAAAUCCCAUCAACAUCUGCAGCACAUCAACAUCAAGCUCAGCACCAGGAACUAGUAGUCGCCAAAUACACCACCUAUUGCCUGACUACCGAUGACGUCAGCGAGAUUGUGCAGAGUGACCUAAUACAGGUCACGGAGGCACCCAGUUCUGUUGCGACGGAGGUAGUAAUUGGCUUCAAGCGUGCUCUGACAAAGCUGGUGGACAACAUGGGUUUCACAGUGGAUGUGGUCACAACCGACCGUUCCCCAUCUAUACGCAAGAUGAGGGAUCUCUUCUCUGACGUCUAACAAGAGCUUGAUGUGUCGCAUACAGUGAAAGAUUAGCACUGCAGAACCCAACCUUGAACAAGAUGGGUCCCAUUAUGUCUGCCGAAAACCAAACUGCUUUCCACAGUAAGAACCUCAUACCAACAGUCAAGCAUGGUGGUGGUUUGGGG